AACCGCCGUAUGCGGAACCGCUUGUACGGUGGUGUGGGAGGUCGGUAAAUGUGAAAGUAGGAGGCAAAUGCCUUUCUAUGAUUAGCAUUUACCUCCUACCCGAU
rnacentral:ncRNA from 1 species